UUUUAAUCAUAAAUUAGGCCCUUGGUUUUCUCGUUUAAAUUGUUUUACAUUUUUCAUUUCGGACCCUUAUAUAGCUGACUGUAGCAUGGGUUUCGAUCAUCGUUAAAGGCUGUACGGUGACAUAUAGUUGUUAACAUGUAUACUUCAUUUUGUUUCUGGUGGAGAGUUGUUUUAUUGGCAAUUAUACCAUAUCUUCUUUAUAUAUAUAUAUAUUUAUCUUAUACAUGUAGCUAGCUAUAUGUUGUAUUUUUCAUGUAUUUUAUCUUAUUACACGAAUUUCUUUAUUUGAUCUCGCCACCCGAAGUAUAUGAACAAGGAUAUUGCUAAUUUUCCAUUUUCGUACGAUGGUGUUUCUAGGGCACUGUCUUGCGGUGUUUAUAUAUCGUAUUACAUUAGUUCGCUAUGCCCAUGUUUGUUGUGACGUUUUAGAUUUCAAUGAACGGACUCUAUGUAUUACUAU
rnacentral:lncRNA from 1 species